GAAAUGCGAUACGUAAUGCGAAUUGCAGAAUCCAGUGAGUCAUCGAACUUUUGAACGCACCUUGCGCUUCCGGGUAACCGGGAGCAUGUCUGUUGGAGUGCCUGUUCUCAACCACAACCAAUCGUCACUGAUUGCGUGUGUCGGCUUUGUCUGUUUGCCUUUGGGCGGGAGACAUUGCAUGAGAUGACAGGUUUCAAAUUCCGCAGUUCCCCUCGGCAAGCAAGAGAAGGUCCUUUUCUUGCUUGUUUUGUGUGGGAGUUGUGAAUGUCGUGUGGAGCAAUCCCCACUGUUCAUUCAAUCAAAGCAACUCUCAUGGCAAAAACGGGAGGGACCGCGAAUUUCACCCAUUCUUUGUAUCGGGCCUCCAAUCAGACAAGAAGACCCGCUGAAUUUAA
rnacentral:misc_RNA from 1 species